rnacentral:rRNA from 1 species
GAACGCUGGCGGCGUGCUUAACACAUGCAAGUCGAACGGUGAAGCGCCUUCCUUUUUGGUGGGUGUGGAUGAGUGGCGAACGGGUGAGUAACACGUGAGUAACCUGCCCCCUUCUUCUGGAUAACCGCAUGAAAGUGUGGCUAAUACGGGAUAUUCUGGGUCUGUCGCAUGAUGGGUCUGGGAAAGAUAUUGUUUCGGUGGGGGAUGGGCUCGCGGCCUAUCAGCUUGUUGGUGGGGUGAUGGCCUACCAAGGCGGUGACGGGUAGCCGGCCUGAGAGGGUGGACGGUCACACUGGGACUGAGACACGGCCCAGACUCCUACGAGAGGCAGCAGUGGGGAAUAUUGCACAAUGGGCGCAAGCCUGAUGCAGCGACGCCGCGUGAGGGAUGGAGGCCUUCGGGUUGUGAACCUCUUUCGCCAGUGAAGCAGGCCUGCCUCGUUUGUGGGUGGGUUGACGGUAGCUGGAGAAGAAGCGCCGGCUAACUACGUG